UGGGGAAUUUUGGACAAUGGGGGAAACCCUGAUCCAGCCAUCCCGCGUGUGCGAUGAAGGCCUUCGGGUUGUAAAGCACUUUUGGCAGGAAAGAAACGUCGCGGGUUAAUACCCCGCGAAACUGACGGUACCUGCAGAAUAAGCACCGGCUAACUACGUGCCAGCAGCCGCGGUAAUACGUAGGGUGCAAGCGUUAAUCGGAAUUACUGGGCGUAAAGCGUGCGCAGGCGGUUCGGAAAGAAAGAUGUGAAAUCCCAGAGCUUAACUUUGGAACUGCAUUUUUAACUACCGGGCUAGAGUGUGUCAGAGGGAGGUGGAAUUCCGCGUGUAGCAGUGAAAUGCGUAGAUAUGCGGAGGAACACCGAUGGCGAAGGCAGCCUCCUGGGAUAACACUGACGCUCAUGCACGAAAGCGUGGGGAGCAAACAGGAUUAGAUACCCUGGUAGUCCACGCCCUAAACGAUGUCAACUAGCUGUUGGGGCCUUCGGGCCUCGGUAGCGCAGCUAACGCGUGAAGUUGACCGCCUGGGGAGUACGGUCGCAAGAUUAAAACUCAAAUGAAUUGACGGGGUCAUAGCUGUUUCCU
rnacentral:rRNA from 1 species